GGGCAUACCCGUAGACCUUGCUUGACUGUGCUCAUGGCCAGGCAGGGGGGACAGUGCAUGCAAGAGUAAUUGGGAGUUUGUGCUAGUUCUAGCCAGCCUAUUCGGUGGCUGGAUAAGUUGCAUUACUUCAACAUUU
ensembl:snoRNA small nucleolar RNA SNORA58